GAAAAGAUGCCAUUAGCAAUAAGUACGGGCUGAAUUCAACUGGUAAUGGAAAGACACAGUUAAUGUAUUGUGAUAUGAACUUAGGAACUGGAGACAUCGAUGAAUGCAAGAGUAAUAUCUUGCUCUGUAGCGUCAAUGCAAACUGUUCAAACACUUACGGCUCGUAUAAAUGCACGUGCAAGGAGGGAUACAAUGGAACUGGAUAUGAAUGUAGAGAUAUCGAUGAAUGCAGAAAUGGCAGCCACCUUUGUGACGCAAAUGCCAAU